CUAUGGUGAAAGUUAGAAGUUUUAGAGACUUUAAACGAGUGCAAUAAGGUCACGUGGUCGGUCAAAUUGACUGAGCCCAUGUGGAGAGAAUUAA